rnacentral:misc_RNA from 1 species
GCAUCCGUUUUGCAUCAGUUGAGAGUGAGUUUACUUGAUUUUUCUUAUAGACUAUUUCUAAUAAAUAUUUCAAUUCUUAAUUGGAAAUGAUUGAAUACUUCUAUGUGUUAUUGUCUUGGAUUUCUAUUGUUGGAGUGCUCUGGAUUGUGCAUGGCGUUUUCCAAUGAGUUAUCUGCAUUGGAAAUUUUAUAUUAUCUAAAUUAUGCUUCAAAUUUUCCCAUUAGCUUGUGGUUUUAGUGCUCUAUUCACUUUCAUUUUUUUUGUCAUCAGUCAUAGGACUGAGGAAACCAUAAUUGCUAAUGAUUAAGGAAUGAAGCUCUUAGAACUGUAUGGAUUUGAUGAUUCAUACAGUUUGCAUCCUUAUUCUUUUGCUUGGUGUUCCU